rnacentral:rRNA from 1 species
UGCCAGCCGCCGCGGUAACACGGGGGGCGCAAGCGUUAUUCGGAAUUAUUGGGCGUAAAGGGCGCGCAGGCGGUCUGGUAAGUCAGUUGUGAAUGCCCUCGGCUCAACCGAGGAAUUGCGACUGAUACUGCCGGGCUUGAGUCCUGGAGAGGGUAGUGGAAUUCCCAGUGUAGCGGUGAAAUGCGUAGAUACUGGGAGGAACACCGGUGGCGAAGGCGACUACCUGGACAGGUACUGACGCUGAGGCGCGAAAGCGUGGGGAGCAAACAGGAUUAGAUA